UCCCAUGUGGCUCAGUUGGUAGAGCAUGGUGUGUGCAACACCAGGGUUGUGGGUUUGAUUCCCACGGGGGAC
rnacentral:tRNA from 1 species